UACGAAGGGGGCUAGUGUUGCUCGGAAUCACUGGGCGUAAAGGGCGCGUAGGCGGGCUCUUAAGUCAGGGGUGAAAGCCCAAGGCUCAACCUUGGAAUUGCCUUUGAUACUGAGGGCCUUGAGACCGGAAGAGGUCGGCGGAACUGCGAGUGUAGAGGUGAAAUUCGUAGAUAUUCGCAAGAACACCAGUGGCGAAGGCGGCCGACUGGUCCGGUUCUGACGCUGAGGCG
rnacentral:rRNA from 1 species